UUGCACAUGUAUCCUGGAACUUAAAAUUAAAUUAAAUUAAAUUAAAUUAAAAAGAAAAAGAAAAGAAUUUAUGUUUUAGAAUCAGACUUAUUUGGGUUAUAGUCCUGACUCAGUCAUUUAUUAAUCCUGGACUUUUGCUAAAUAACUUAUCCUCACUUUCAUCAACUCUAGAUGUGGAAUAAUAAUAAAUAGUCUCUACUUCAUUGCAUCCUUUUGUGAUUACAUAAUAUACUUUGGCAGUUAGUUAAAACUGUGUCUUUAUAGUGGCUAUGAAAUGGUUAAGUCUCAAGAGCUUAAGACGCUGGGCGACGGGGAUUUUCGUGUUGUUAUAUAAUGAGAAAAGCACCGUAGCAGUCAUGAAAUGAAGAAAUCUGAUCUCCUCUUGCCUCUCAAAUAGAAUGUUCUCAUCCUACCAGAAGGCAUACCAUACAGUUUUUGCCAGUGUGGCAGGGCUUCGGAGUGAACACAGGAUAGUGUUCCCCUCAGCAGCAGGUAGGGGUGGGGAAGUGUGUUGUGGGGACAAAAUGCCUGGAAUGGGGCAUGAAGGGCUACUGAAACUCUCCUGAUGUUCUGCUGCUUAAUCCUGAUGAUGGUUAACUAAGUGUGCUCACAUUAUGAAAAUUCAUUGAGCUACACAUUUAUAAUUAGUGCACUUUUCUGUGUGUAUGCUACACUUCAGUAAAAUGUUUAAGGUUUGCGCUCCCCAACUAUCCAUUCUCCUUGCACGCUUUGCUCUUCCAUUCUUGUCACACUUUAUUUACCAUCUAUUUUCCCCACUAGCAUAAACGUUCUACAUAAUCUAUAGUGAUUUUCCUGUUUGUUAUGUUCACGGUUGUAGUUCUAGCACCUGAAAAAAAAAAAAAAUCUCUGGCACAUAGUAGGAACUUCAAACAUAGGUAUAAAUAAAUCAAUGAAUAAAUAAAUAAAUAAGAAAAAACACUGGCUACAGGUUGAGUGAUGUUAUAGAGAAAAAGAGAAAGAUGUAAAGCAGAUAUUCAGGGUAAGAGCAUUGGUUUAACAUUAAUUGACAGAGAAUUAAGAGAUGUAUUUGCAUAGCUACUUAACAAUGUUUCGGUCUAAAUAUUAUUUUUUUCCUUCAUUUACCUAAAAGAAGAAAGAGAAUUUUAUAUGAUGGACAAAUCCAUAUACUGAAUAUAACUUAGUAAGUGGAAAAACAUCCUUUUAAGGACAAGUUUUGGCAGUUGUGGGUAGCACACUUGCUUAAGAUUAACUUCUGCUCCUGCAAACAGUUGCCCAAAUGCGCAUGAUAUGUUUCUGGUCAGUUUCAGUUUCUAGCCAAUUACAUCACAGGGCAAGACCUAGAUUGAAAAACACAACAUUGGAAUUAAGUGUUUUUAGGCCUCUUUAACAUAGCUGAACCCUCUUGCUUAAUGAAAGUAUUUAAAAAUUUUAAUCACUUAUCAUCAAGCCUAAAAUUUCCAAAUUGUUUUUGUGUUUAAAUAUUGAAAAUUCUUAUGCAUGUGGACUGAUAAAGUGUGGAUCUAUGGGCAAUAGCAAGAGAGGAGAAAGCAUGAAAAAUGGAGAUUAAACAUGGGAUGUGUCAAGAUAAUGAGAGCAUAAUGGUCAAAUAUGAACAGAGAGGACACAUAAGAAAAUGAAUAUCCACUUAAUAAAGUGAAUAUGAUGAAUUUAUUUACUUUGGCUUACAUUCUUUUUGAGAAAUUACUUUAUCAAAGAACUUCCUUAGUAAUUAACAUUAAUAAUUACAUAUUAUAUAAUAUUCAAGACAAAUUCACUGAAAACAGAAACUAAAAUAUUUUAUUAAUAAAUUUGAAAAUAUAAACAUCAUUAUAAUAUAGUCCUUUAUUGCAUUCUAAAGUAGCUAAAAAAUAACAUUCAGAAGUACCUCCUAGAAAACACUGUACUAAUUGCCUUCAUGCACUUAUUAUUUUAUAAUUUUAUAACUGUUAUUUUAUAUAUCAGUGUUCACCCUUACUGCAACACUAUCUGGUAAAUUUUAUCAUAUCUAUCUGAGAGGAGGAAAGGGGACUAUUGGAGAGUUAAUGACCACCCACGGUCACAAAGACUCGAAGUGGCACAAGUAAGAUUUCAAUCUGUGACAGAUGGUCUGUAAUCUUAACUUCCCUUACAAUACUGUUCUGAAACAGAAAUCAUAUACACUAAUUCAAAACAAUAUUCUAGAGCUUCAGUGUGACCUGGCUCAAAACUUUUUCUUGCAUUCAACACACAAGGAAAACACAAGAGCACUUUUAACUAAAAGUGAAGAAUUUAAAGCAAUGGAGAAAAUUAAAAACAAAUAACUAUAUUUGUACUCUUAUGCUAAUAAAUUUAAAUUGCAAUAUAAUACAUGAUUUUUGAAAAAUAUGUUAUAUAAAUUAUCAAAAUUGAAUAAAACAGACUUCUGCUUUCCACCAAUGUAUGCAAGCAGCUUAAGUUCCCACACUGUCCUAACAACAGUAAAAAACUGAACAGAUUGAGAAAUCAACACUCUUCUUGGAUCUGUAAGAGAGGUAAGUACACAGGGCAAACUACUGCCCACGAGACUGGAGAGACAGACAGGCCAAUAUAGGGAGACAUGGCUUCCAGGUGCAGAGUCUCAUGAGUGGAGACCAGCAGGAACCAGUGCUGCGGUAGGAAUAUCUGAAUUGGAAUUGACAAAUUGCUGGAGGCUCAGUGUGGAAAAGUCUGAGAAUUAAAAACUACGCUGGACCCAGUCACAGAGGAGAACCUACAAUUUUAUGAGUUUUAUCUCAACCAGAAUAUCAAUCAGGUUCUCAUAGGAAAAUAUUGGAGAAACAUCCCCUCAUGUUUUAAGCAAGAUGAGGAUCUAUUUUGAAACACACCAGAGCACUCUGUAUUCUUUUUUCUUUUCUUUUCUUUUUUCUUUCUUUUCUUUUCUUUGCCUCCCUUUCUUUCUUUUUUUUUUUUUUCAAGGCCUACCCUCAGGAGAAACUAGUUAACUAGGACCUAAUAUGCUGGUGUAUUAUCAGCUCCUAACUGAUCUGGGGAAAGAAAAAUACCCAAUGUCAACCCAUUGUAUCCUUUCUGUUUCAUCUAGGUUAGAGAAGAAUUGAAAAACACUUGCGAUUUUCACAGUCCAGAGGCACAAGCUCACUAAAGACUGAGACCCAAUCACAGAACUAUAGGACACAGGGUGAAGGUGCCGUCUAUGAACCAGGAAACAGGCCCUCACCAGAUGUGAAAUCUGUUGAUGCUUUGAUCCUGGCCUUCCUAGCCUCCAGAACCGUGAGAAAUAAAUUUAUGUCGUUUAUACGCCACCCAGUUUAUGACAUUUUUUUCUUAGCAGCCCUGACACACUAAGACAGUAAGAGUCUGUCAUAACUGUUUAACAUAUAUCAUAUUUUGGAUAAUUCUGUUGUUUUCAAUUCCUACCCUUGCUUGUUGAGGAAUAGCACUGUAUUCAUAUAUUUAUGCACCUCUCCUGAUACUUGUAAAAACGAAGUUGAAUUUCUGGGUUAAAGAUUAUGAAAAAAUUGGAAAUCCUCCUGUUUCUUAUUAUAAAGUUACUUUUUAUAAAAAUUAUACUAAUUUAAAGUAUCAUUGAAAAUGGUGAAUUUCUGCCAAUAUUAUUGCAGAACACUUGAGUUACUGAAGGAGACCAAGAAGGAGAUUAUAAUAAGAAAGAUUAGGUAUUUGGGUAUUACUUUAAUCUCGGGCUGCAUUUAUUGGUGGUCUGAAUUAUUUCAAGGAAAAGCAGAUAUCGCCUAGGCUCAGAGGUCACCAGCGCAAACUUGUCAGGAGUCAGGCAGUAAGUAACAUGUCACAUAGGUCUUGCGCAGUAUAAAUGUACCUAGCACCUCAGAAGGGAAUGAGGCAAAAUUGGGAAUGGAAAUUUACUGAAGUCAGACCACUUUUUCUCAAUUCUGUUUAGAAUUUUUUCAAUCACAGAGCUUUCAGGAAAUCUCAGAUAACCCAGUCCAAACACUUCACACUACAGAUAAGGAAACUGAGAGCCAGGAAAUUUCAGGGAUUAUCUAAAUUCACAGUUAGGUAAUGAUACAGCUAAAACUGUAACCCAGGCUGGCUGACUCACAGCGCUAAGAACCUCUUUACCAGAUCAUGCUUUGGUUUGGUUUUGGCUCUGAGCCGUGAAAAUACACAGUCAACCACAAACCAAGAGCAUAAAAAGAUUUAGAUACAUUCUAAGUGAAAUCGAGUUGUCUACUCCAGUUAAUUAUUUGCUGUAGAAAUUUAUUUAAUUUUCUUUAAAAUGUAUUUAUAUGAGUCUAUUCUCUUGGCCUAGUAAUACUGAGAGUGGUUGAAGAUGGAAGUGACCAUGAUAGUGGAAGUGACCACAUUGGGUCAUGCAAAUUAACAAUGAAAUCAUCAUUAAAAAGGAGAAGAAAAGACCAAACUAUCAACUGAACCUGUGAAAAAUAAAAAACAUGACCAGGGGUUGCAAGAAUAGUCAUUUAUCAUGUCAGCUCAAUUCUAGCAGUUACAUCCAUGAAAUAGAAUGUUAAGGUCACCAUUUGACAUAGAAGAAAUUGGAAACGAAGUUUUACUGUGUUCUUAAUAAGAGUAAAUUUCUCCAAAAAUUCUGGGCACUGUUUCAAAGGAAAAUCUUCAGAAUUCCAGAGAAGGUUUAUGAGAUGGCUAUGGGGAGUACUGACGGCUAGAAGUCCUGGAUCAAAUUUUAUGUCUGCGGAGGGCCCGUUUCCCUACUUCCAAGAUGGCGACUUGUUGCUGUAUCCUCAAAGAUAGAAGAUGGAAGAGCAAGAAAGGCACACUCUCUCUGAAGCCUUUUGAAAUGAGGGUAUUAAUACAUCCUUUUUUUGUACAUAGCCACUACUUCUCUAGUACUGAGACUUAAUUAUGCAGGAGAUCGUCUAGCAUGUAGGUUGGACGGCACACAUGCACAAUUAAGGUUAAUAGUCAUAGUUCUGAUAUUGUUGAGAUUUUAAAAAUAAAGUUUUAAAAACAAUGAAACACUUCUUUUUAUGUUGCUUUAAAUCUAUUUAAUUAACAUACAUGUAUUUAAGAUUUUCAAAUGCCAUAAAUAAGAGAUAGCUUUAUGCUUCAGAUUAGUAAGGACUCUAAAGUAGUUUUGGUUUAUACUGAAUUAUUAGCACAUUUAAAAUAAAAUCAUUUUAUUUUGGAUUAUGCUCAGGUACUACUAGUAUAGCUGGAAAAAGUCUUUAUUGCAAGAAAUGUAAUAUAAGAAAUUGAACUUUGCUAUUCUGCAGUGGCUUAUUGUGCCUAGGAUAUGUUAAAAUAGCCUAUAAUAACAAAAAUGAAUUCGUUAAAUAUAGGGCAAAUUAAAUGAAAAUGAAGAUUGAAAUCUAACAGCAAAUCUGAUAUCAUAAUAAGACAACUUUAAAUAUCUAUAUAGGUCUGAAUAUUUCUAAUUGCAAGAAAAUUUCCUAUUCAGACACGUUUAGUAGAGUUUUACAAAUAUAUGUUGCAGCACCAUCUAGCAAACUCCUAGUGUAUUUACCACAUCACAAACAUUUUGUUCUUUUUCUGGUAGUGAAUAUACUUUGCUGAAUAUCUUCAGAGUUGUGGAAAAUUACAGCUUUUAUGAAGCAGAAGGAAAUACUCUCAAUGAUAACUCAUUAGAUAGGCAUUCUGAAUUUAUACUUUUAAAUUAUGUUUCCUAUAUAUAAGCCCAUGCAUUAGAAUACAAUAUACAUGCUUUUCUUUUUAAACACAACUCCUCGAAUACAAUUUUAACAUAUGCCAAUAUUUGAUAUUCUCAAUUGUUUACUUUAUUGGUCUAUGGAUGAAAUAAAACUAAAAGCCUUGUCUGUUAUAGCUAGGUAAAAUGAUAUACAUGGGAAGUUCAUAAAUCAUAAAUUUAUAUUUUAAUAUUGUUAUUCUUGAUGACAGUGCAGACAGUUUAUUAAAUGGAGGAGAGUACUGUAAGUAGGAAAACACGAGUUUGGACAUAAACCAACUUACUAUUUUUAUGACCUUAGGAAAAUUAUAUAACCUCUCUCAAAUCUUAGUUUCCUGAGCGUCAACCUGCCAACAAUGACAACAACAGUAAUAAUGAGGUAUUGAAAAGAAGUGCUUUGCAUAGAAUAUAAUUCAAUAGAUUAUUUUUCAUAAUUUAUCUCCUACUAAGUUAUUUUUGACUGUUUUACAGGCUAACCUGUUAAGAAAGUAAACUGAACAAAAAUCGUUUAUCAAAUACUCAAUUUGUCUUGACUGCCUAGGUUCAUUUUGACUUAUUUCAGACAAAAGUUAACAUAGUUUUCAUGCCAAUAGCCAAACAUGACCAAUGGCAAAAGAUUCAUUUCUGUCAGUUCAGAAAAUUGGUUGAAAGUGUUCAUUCAGGUAAAGCAACUACUUUAUUAAUUGAAUUUUUCUGUCUUUGCAACUGGUUAAGGUUUACAAUUAUAUCUAGAGGAGCAAAUCAUUUGAAAAGAAAAAAGGCUGAAUUCCAGUAGAACAUGCUGAAAAUAACCAGGUGAAUUCAAUGAACUGGUUUAAGUUGCCUGAUUUUUAGAAACAUAACCCACAUUACUAAGAUAAAACAUUUUUCCACUAAGCAAAUGUACAAGCAAAACAACCUCCAGGUUUUUAUGCCUAGAAACUGUUCUUAUUGUUUGGAUUGAUAACUGAUUUGAAGCUUGGGACACAGGCUGGGUUACAAGCGUCAUAAUGUCAGUCUGUCAACUAUCACAUUUCUGAAACACAGCAUCCAGUUACUUUGGACACGGAAUGGCCUGCUGGAUCCUGACAGUUCUGUCCCUGCCAGCAGUCUUAUAAUAGCUAAAGGAUACAAACAGUAACCUUUCCAUUUAACACCGGCAAAGUUUCCACCCAGAAACCCAAAAGCCUGGGAGACACCCGCAGAGGUUCAGCUUAAGUCAGAGUUGAAGCUCUAGUUUCAGUUUAUUGUAUUUUUUAGCCUCUUUUCUUUUUUAAGAAAUUAAGAGAUGUUUGACUGAACCAAAUAUACUGUUUAUAAACAAAACGCUAAGAACCCUAAAAGCACUAAUCAAGUCCUAUGAUUAAAGCUCCUGUGUAAACUGCUUUGCCUCUUGCAUUAACAUCUAAAUAACGCCAUUCUGAUGACAUAGGAACAAAAGAGUACCUUUUUAUGACUGGACCAUAUAAAAGUGACAGAAAGAAAUUAGCAGUUAAGGCUUUUCAGAGAAGGUUGGCCUCUUGGGUAUAACUAAGCAACCUUUGAGAAGCAGACAGUAGUAUUUCAACACUU